AUUGAACGCUGGCGGCAGGCCUAACACAUGCAAGUCGAACGAGUGGCGGACGGGUGAGUAGUGUCUGGGAAACUGCCAGAUGGAGGGGGAUAACUACUGGAAACGGUAGCUAAUACCGCAUACCAUCGGAUGUGCCCAGAUGGGAUUAGCUAGUAGGUGGGGUAAUGGCUCACCUAGGCGACGAUCCCUAGCUGGGCUGAGAGGAGUACCGGGCAAACGGGGACUGAGACACGGCCCAGACUCCUACGGGAGGCAGCAGUGGGGAAUAUGGGACAAUGGGCGAAAGCCUGAUGCAGCCAUGCCGCGUGGAUGAAGAAGGCCUUCGGGUUGUAAAGUACUUUCAGCGAGGAGGCGUUACUCGCAGAAGAAGCACCGGCUAACUCCGUGCCAGCCGCCGCGGUAAUUC
rnacentral:rRNA from 1 species